rnacentral:rRNA from 1 species
CCUACGGGAGGCUGCAGUGAGGAAUAUUGGUCAAUGGACGAGAGUCUGAACCAGCCAAGUAGCGUGAAGGAUGACUGUCCUAUGGGUUGUAAACUUCUUUUAUAUGGGAAUAAAACGUUCCACGUGUGGGAUUUUGUAUGUACCAUAUGAAUAAGGAUCGGCUAACUCCGUGCCAGCAGCCGCGGUAAUACGGAGGAUCCGAGCGUUAUCCGGAUUUAUUGGGUUUAAAGGGAGCGUAGGUAGAUUGUUAAGUCAGUUGUGAAAGUUUGCGGCUCAACCGUAAAAUUGCAGUUGAAACUGGCAGUCUUGAGUACAGUAGAGGUGGGCGGAAUUCGUGGUGUAGCGGUGAAAUGCUUAGAUAUCACGAAGAACUCCGAUUGCGAAGGCAGUUCACUGGACUGCAACUGACACUGAGGCUCGAAAGUGUGGGUAUCAAACAGGAUUAGAUACCCGUGUAGUC